GUGUCGCUUGCUCUAAAACGCCGUGGGGAUGGCGUUUUGGGCCUGGAUAAUUUCAACCAUUACUAUGAUGUCGGGCUGAAAAAAGCCCGAAUGGGCCUGCUUGAACGUUCAGGUAUUUAUAUCGUUGAUGGUGAUAUAAAUGAUGCCGUUUUGCUAAAGAAGCUGUUUGAUGCUGUUGCUUUUACACAUGUAAUGCAUAUGGCGGCUCAAGCCGCAUAAAUGAUGCUGUUUUGUUAAAAAAACUGUUUGAUGCUGUUGCUUUUACACAUGUCAUGCAUAUGGCGGCUCAAGCCGGAGUUAGAUAUGCAAUGCAGAAUCCAGGUUCUUAUGUUCAUAGUAAUAUAGCUGGUUUUGUUAGUUUACU
rnacentral:lncRNA from 1 species